rnacentral:rRNA from 1 species
AGCGAACGCUGGCGGCAGGCUUAACACAUGCAAGUCGAACGCAUCCUUCGGGGUGAGUGGCAGACGGGUGAGUAACACGUGGGAACGUACCCUUCGAUCUGGGAUAACUUCGGGAAACUGGAGCUAAUACCGGAUACGCCCUUUUGGGGAAAGGUUUACUGUCGAAGGAUCGGCCCGCGUCUGAUUAGCUAGUUGGUGGGGUAACGGCCUACCAAGGCGACGAUCAGUAGCUGGUCUGAGAGGAUGAUCAGCCACACUGGGACUGAGACACGGCCCAGACUCCUACGGGAGGCAGCAGUGGGGAAUAUUGGACAAUGGGCGCGAGCCUGAACCAGCCAUGCCGCGUGAGUGAUGAAGGCCUUAGGGUUGCAAAGCUCUUUUGUCCGGGACGAUAAUGACGGUACCGGAAGAAUAAGCCCCGGCUAACUUCGUG